CACGAAACCGGACGAGCUACUGCAAAACAUAUAGUGGUAUUAAAUAUGUAGCAUAAUAAUGGAAGAUCUUGCUGUAGGGGUGAUAGGCUAUCAAGUCCGGGGAUAUCUUGUUAACCUUGAAAUGUAUUGAGUACGUCGUCGAUUUAUUAGUGAUAAGGCUGAUAAAAAUUAUUUAUUUGGAUUCUUCAGGUUAACCUAGUUUAAUCACUCGUUAAUCAAUAAAUUUAAUAUUACUUUCCCCUAUUAAUAGAAUAUAAAGGUUAGUAUAUAAUCAACGUAAAUAUUUAUACUGUAGGUAUGAGUAAUUUAAGUGUCAUUGAUGAACUUGGCAACAUUCCUUUCACCUGUUUAUCAAAAACAUCGCCAGUAGGAGGUAUUAUUGGUAAGUUCUGCUCCAUGUACUAUAAAUAGCCGCAGUACCCUGACUGUGCAAAGGUAGCAUAAUCAUUUGGCUUAUAAUUGAAGUCUAGUAUGAAUGAAUACAUGGGGGGAAACUCUAUUUGUGAUAUCCACUGAAAUUCCUUAAUGGGUGAAAAUUCCCAUAUCUAAAUAAAAGACGAGAAGACCCUUGAAAUUUUUACUAUUUGUACACGUGAGUUUUUGUUGGGGCAACAUUGUAGCAAAUUAACCUACAAUAAUGACAUGACAUAUAAUAGCAUGAUUAAAUUACUCUAGGGAUAACAGCGUAAUUUUUACAGAGUUUGCGACCUCGAUGUUGGACUAGGAAGCUUAUGCUUAAAA
rnacentral:rRNA from 1 species